GGAUGGACUCGUUGUGACAAGACGACUCGGGUGACUGUUAUGGUAAAGGCAGCCAGAGCAUUCACAGGUCCAGUAGCAAAACAAGUGACCGUAUGUCACUCUUCAAGGAGAGGCCCGAAGCUUACAAGAUCUACAGAUAUUUGGUCUAGCCAUGAACUUUGUAUGAAGGUUAAACGCGCCAGCCAGUCCGCCUCUUCUUAAAAUCGCCAUUCAAUUCCACGGUAAUGAUUUACGUGACAAAUAUAUAUCACGCAACCGGGUGGUUAAGUCCGUGGCGGUUCUACGGAAAGAAUAGAAGCAUCAGCUAUUUGCGCACACUCACGCGUCAAGUAACCCUAUGCCUUCUAUAUUUACGGGGAUAGAGUAAUUCUCUUGGACAAUUAAAGCUUAGCUUUAGCUUAUCGCUUAAAGACUAAGGAAGGAGAUGGAUCUAACUUCCGUUCAGAUGCUGGCUGCGCCUACUGAAAGAACUCCCGAAUUGGAAAUAGCUUUCUGCAUU